rnacentral:misc_RNA from 1 species
GAUGAGAACGUAGUGAAAUGCGAUAAGUAAUGUGAAUUGCAGAAUUCAGUGAAUCAUCGAAUCUUUGAACGCACAUUGCGCCCGCCAGUAUUCUGGCGGGCAUGCCUGUCCGAGCGUCAUUUCAACCCUCAAGCCCCCGGGCUUGGUGUUGGAGAUCGGCGAGCCCCCCGGGGCGCGCCGUCUCCCAAAUAUAGUGGCGGUCCCGCUGUAGCUUCCUCUGCGUAGUAGCACACCUCGCACUGGGAAACAGCGUGGCCACGCCGUAAAACCCCCCACUUCUGAAAGGUUGACCUCGGAUCAGGUAGGAAUACCCGCUGAACUUAAGCAUAUCAAUAAGCGGAGGA